GAUGCAGUGUUGCGGGGAGAGUGGGGGUGCACCCGUUGGGUGGCAGGCGUGUAGGGAUGGGGGCGAGUGCCGACCCUGCCAUCCGUUCUGAGCAGUGGCUGCUGCCUGAGUUAGAGGCCAAUAGGCCGCCCGCAUCAGCGGACGCGGAUCCUACCCCUCUGUGGAUUUGAAUUCACUAGUUCUCUCUGCAGCACUCCCAGAGCUUCACGUUUGAUGAUGCCCAACAGGAGGACCGGAAGAGACUGGCGGAGCUGCUGGUCUCCGUCCUGGAACAGGGCUUGCCACCCUCCCACCGUGUCAUCUGGCUGCAGAGUGUCCGAAUCCUGUCCCGGGACCGCAACUGCCUGGACCCGUUCACCAGCCGCCAGAGCCUGCAGGCACUAGCCUGCUAUGCUGACAUCUCUGUCUCUGAGGGGUCCGUCCCAGAGUCCGCAGACAUGGAUGUUGUACUGGAGUCCCUCAAGUGCCUGUGCAACCUCGUGCUCAGCAGCCCUGUGGCACAGAUGCUGGCAGCAGAGGCCCGCCUAGUGGUGAAGCUCACAGAGCGUGUGGGGCUGUACCGUGAGAGGAG
rnacentral:lncRNA from 1 species